UACAGAGGGGGCAAGCGUUAUUCGGAAUUAUUGGGCGUAAAGGGCGCGUAGGCGGCUUUGCAAGUGACGGGUGAAAGCCCUCGGCUUAACCGAGGAACUGCCUGUCAGACUGUAAGGCUUGAGACCGGGAGAGGUGAGUGGAAUUCCCAGUGUAGCGGUGAAAUGCGUAGAUAUUGGGAGGAACACCAGUGGCGAAGGCGGCUCAUUGGACCGGAACUGACGCUGAGGCGCGAAAGCGUGGGGAGCGAACAGG
rnacentral:rRNA from 1 species